UCCUCCCUCUGUCGGCGUGCUUAACACAUGCAAGUCGUACGGUAAGGCCCUUUCGGGGGUACACGAGUGGCGAACGGGUGAGUAGCACGUGAGUAACCUGCCCACAACUUUGGGAUAACGCUAGGAAACUGGUGCUAAUACUGGAUAUGUGCUCCUGCUGCAUGGUGGGGGUUGGAAAGCUCCGGCGGUUGUGGAUGGACUCGCGGCCUAUCAGCUUGUUGGUGGGGUAGUGGCCUACCAAGGCGGCGACGGGUAGCCGGCCUGAGAGGGUGACCGGCCACAUUGGGACUGAGACACGGCCCAGACUCCUACGGGAGGCAGCAGUGGGGAAUAUUGCACAAGGGGCGCAAGCCUGAUGCAGCAACGCCGCGGGCGGGAGGACGGCCUUCGGGUUGUAAACCGCUUUCAGCAGGGACGAAGCUUUUUGUGACGUUACCUGCAGAAGAAGCACCGGCUAACUACGUG
rnacentral:rRNA from 1 species